AUUGAACGCUGGCGGCAUGCCUUACACAUGCAAGUCGAACGGUAACAGGUUAAGCUGACGAGUGGCGAACGGGUGAGUAGUGUAUCGGAACGUGCCCAGUCGUGGGGGAUAACUACUCGAAAGAGUGGCUAAUACCGCAUACGACCUGAGGGUGAAAGCGGGGGACCGUAAGGCCUCGCGCGAUUGGAGCGGCCGAUAUCAGAUUAGCUAGUUGGUGGGGUAAAAGCCCACCAAGGCGACGAUCUGUAGCUGGUCUGAGAGGACGACCAGCCACACUGGACUGAGACACGGCCCAGACUCCUACGGGAGGCAGCAGUGGGGAAUUUUGGACGAUGGACGCAAGUCUGAUCCAGCCAUGCCGCGUGCGGGAAGAAGGCCUUCGGGUUGUAAACCGCUUUUGUCAGGGAAGAAACGAGUUUCUCUAAUACAGAGACUUAAUGACGGUACCUGAAGAAUAAGCACCGGCUAACUACGUGCCAGCCGCCGCGGUAAUAC
rnacentral:rRNA from 1 species